AUCUCACAAUUUAUUAAAUAUGACCGACGUCGAAGGAGUUGCAUGCUUCUGAAUUGUCACUAUUAAUAAAUAGAGACAAUCCAAUGGGUGCAGCCCUUUUCCUUUGUUGGAGUUGGUGUAGAUAAUGUCGGAUGGACCGACAGCAUAGCUAAAAACCAUCGUGAAGUCGUCGCUUCGUGCCAUGGCUCGUGAUGACCGAUUGCUACGUACAUUUG